AGGACUCAGCGAGCAGAGCCGGGCAGUUUCUGCCGGCCCUGCUCUCUCCCUCCUCUUUUUUCGACAGGUGACGGCAGUUGACUGGUGGGCGGGGCGCGCACACCUGCAGCGUGUUCUGCAGCACUAUAAGAUCUGCGCUCAGACAGCGGGAGGACGCCGGAAUAUUAACCGUUGUUGGUUCGCUCUCGUGUCCCGAGGCUUGAGCCUAACUGAACUCACCUGCUCACGACUCCCAUCGGAUCAGUCCGGUUCCUUCCGCUGCCUGUGUUUUCGCCAGAGCUGCUCGGACCUUGCCUCACGCCUACGCCCCCCGAUCAUCUGUCCGCACCACUCCAUCUGGAGCUGAGUCCGUUGCGCUUCCCCCUCCGGUCCGACUUCCGAACCUAAGUGAUCGUUCGUGCUCCGUCCGAGUCUCUCUCCCCGUGAUCGCUCCAUUGUGAGCCCUUUUUCGUGAUUACUUCCCCGAACAUUUUCCCUGUUGUUAUUGUCAAUAAACUCCGUAAAACUACUUCCUGUGAGCCGGUGUUCUCUGCAUGUGGGCCAAACAUAUCAAACCGACCAUGACAGAAGAAUAUUCCGGCCAACAAAGAGACCCAGCAGAGACAUUCGGUAGGGCGCUAACCGCCCAACAGGAUAAAAUCAGGGGUUUAGAAACGGCAGUGCUCUCCAUGCAGGACCAGUUCCAGGGCUUCGCCGCUCAGAUUAAUCAGCUAACGGCCGCGCUUAACGCCGCCCAGCAACCUGCCGCUUCCCCACCACCCGACCCCGCCCCCGAGCCUGCGCCGGCUGACGCUCCUCCGCUGCCUCCUGGAGCUUUUUCUCCCAGCCCAGAGAAGUUCUCGGGGGACAGCGGAGAUUGCGGAGGUUUCCUCUUUCAAUGUUCCUUAGCUUUUAACCAGUCCCCUCAACUCUUUGUUCAGGAUCACUCCAGGAUCGCCUUUAUUUUACGUUUGUUAACCGGGAGGGCAUUAAGAUGGGCUGAGUCCCGCUUUCCAAACUGUCAGAGUUUUGGUUGUACUUUUGCUCAGUUCAUCAGUGAGUUUAAGAUGGUCUUCGCGGCAGAAUCCGACGAGGUCCAGGACUCACGUCGGCUCCUUGCUCUCAGGCAGCAAGGGAGGCGCGUCUCUGAUUUCGCUAUCGAGUUUCGCACGCUGGCAGCCGCAGCCGGCUGGGAGCAGCGCGCGUUAAAAACUGUGUUUUUUCAAGCUCUGGA